CAGUAGUAGGAGGGUACUAAUCCUAUCAUUAUUCUUUGCCCAUUAAUCCCACCUUAAUUACGAGACAAUCCAACGGCUCGAAAAUUUAAAAAGCCCUGGAUUAACAAGUUUGUUUUCAUGCAAUUAGUAACAACGGCUAGAAAAUUUAAAAAGGAUACAUAGGCGUUGGUUUUCACAUCUGUGUCAUUCCGUACUUCUUGUACAUAUUCCGCCAUAAUUGAGAAAUCCUCAUGUGCCUAGAGAGAGAGAGAGAGAGAGAGAGAGAGAUGGUGGUACUUGGGUUCGACGAGGUGGCGACCGUAGACGCUGAAGAAUGAGAGACACAUUCCUCAUCUUUACAUGUUUCUGUCUUCGCUAUUAUUGAGCUUUGAGGCAUUUUUGGCUCUCCCCAAGAACAAGCAACGAGAAAUGGCUUCCGGAGUUGUUUAUUCUCUGCAACAACCCAGAGGUGUUGGGGAUUAAUUUGAAGCAGUCUUGCAUGUGUUGGAAAAAGGGGAUAAACACACGAGGACACUCCUCCUCAUAGGUCCCACUCAUAAUGGUCUAUACAUUUUCCCUCCCAACCUGUCUUCAUCCUCCUCUUCGUCCACUAAUGUCGGUGAAAGAACAAGUGCAGCACAAUGGCAUCGAAGGUUAGGGCAUCCAUCCUUAUCACUGAUCUCCCGAGUUCUACGAGUGUUUGCCAGUUUCUCACAAGGACUCCUUUCAAUGUCUCGAGUGUCCAUUAGCUAAAAGCCAUCAAUUAUCCUUUUGUAAUAGUCUGGCCCAAUAUACAAGGCCUUUACAGUUACUUUGUGCGGACUUAUGGGGUCUGGCCUUUUAUGUUUCUAAACUUGGUUUUAGAUACUAUCUUUCUUUUGUUGAUUGUUAUACACGUUACACUUGGUGCU